UAGUUGGACAACAUGCCAGUAACUAUCAACAAAACGAUGAGCAAGAUAAUCGCCAACAUGAAAAAAGAAAAUAAAACCAUCAAAGAGAUCCAUGCAUGACUCAAGGAAAGUGGCAUUAUAGUCACUUUAGAAACGGUGCGCUAUCAUGCAUUCGAGAGAACAACGCCCAGAUUUGUAUUUCCUACAAAAUGCACAUGGAGAGUGCAACAAAUUGUGGAGGAACUAACUCGUGAGGAUGAUGAGCGUACUGCUUUGCAAAUAAAACUAAUUCUUCAUUCCAAGUAUGACCUGGACAUAUCGGCCACCAGCAUCAGAAGGAUGCGACGGAAAAUGGGAUGGACCUUUGGCGCAACAAGGAUAUCUCCAAUGAUAAGAGAUGUGAAUAAAGAAAAAAGAGUGGAACAGGCACGGCGAUGGAUUGAGAGUGGUGAAACAUUUGAUGAUGUCAUUUUCACAGAUGAAUCGUCUGUUGCCCUUGAGCGGUUCUCCAGAAUGUCAUUCCGGAAACGUAACCAUAUCUCAUUAAAACCACGCCCAAAGCAUUCAUUGAAAGUCCAUGUAUGGGGAGGCAUAUCACGAUUAGGAGCUGGUCCCCUAUUAUUUU